CCCGUGUCCAGCAACUCUGUUUAGCCUCAGAGGGGGAAGGCCCAAGCUAACGGGGAAGAGGGAUUGGUUGACUUCCAGGUGAUUGACGGGGGAACAGGAUGCGAGUCCAGAUGCAAACAGAGACAAAAUUCCUCCCUGACCAGCCCAAAGCAUCACCGGGGGGCACACUGCCUGCCCUCCAGGACAUCUACAGCACCCGAUAUCACAAGAAAGCUAAGAAGAUCGAUCUCAGCCACCGUCUGCUCACGCUGCUACCAUCUGGAAAUAGUAUAGGUGCAUAAAAGCUGAGACUGAGAGAGACUGAGAAACAGCUUCUAUCUCCAGGCCACCAGACUGUUAAAUAGUCACUACUAGCUGGUCUCCACCCAGUACCCUGCAACAGAGGCUGCUUCCCUAUGUACAUAGGGUCAUUGAACACUGGUCACUUUAAUAAAAAGUUUACAUACCGUUUGACCCACUUUAUAUGUAGGGUGUUCACUCACUGCUCUAGAAUGUAGUGAAAUAGUGGUCAAUUGAAGAGGGUGAUAAAUGGUCUAGCCCUAUUUUUGUUUAGUCUAUGCCAUUAUGAAUCACAUUCAACUAAUCAUUAGAUUGUACUCUACAAUAGUAUAACUUUAAUAUGCUUGUUGUUAACAGUGUUGAUUAAAUAAGAACGGUA